UGGGGAAUAUUGGACAAUGGGGGAAACCCUGAUCCAGCAAUGCCGCGUGUGUGAUGAAGGCCUGCGGGUUGUAAAGCACUUUCGGUGGGGAGGAAAUACCCGGGGCUAAUAACUCCGGGGGUUGACGUUACCCACAAAAGAAGCACCGGCUAACUCUGUGCCAGCAGCCGCGGUAAUACAGAGGGUGCAAGCGUUAAUCGGAGUUACUGGGCGUAAAGGGCGCGUAGGUGGAUAUUUAAGUCGGAUGUGAAAUCCCUGGGCUUAACCUAGGAAUUGCAUUCGAUACUGGAUAUCUGGAGUAUGGUAGAGGAAAGUGGAAUUCCCGGUGUAGCGGUGAAAUGCGUAGAUAUCGGGAAGAACAUCAAGGCGAAGGCAGCUUUCUGGACCAAUACUGACACUGAGGCGCGAAAGCGUGGGGAGCAAACAGG
rnacentral:rRNA from 1 species